rnacentral:rRNA from 1 species
CGCCUGUUUAUCAAAAACAUGUCCUUUUGAUUUUUUAUUUAAGGUCUGACCUGCCCAAUGAGGAUUUUAAUGGCCGCAGUAUUUUAACUGUGCUAAGGUAGCAUAAUCAUUUGUCUUUUAAUUAAGGGCUGGAAUGAAGGGUUGGACAAGAUAUCAGCUUUCUUUAAUUUAGUUUUAAGAAUUUAAUUUUUGAGUUAAAAGGCUUAAAUUUAUUUGAGGGACGAGAAGACCCUAUAGAUCUUUAUAGUUUUAUAUUUCAGUAAUUUAGGGAUUAUUUUAUUUGGAGUAGAGUAAUUAUUUGGUUGGGGUGACUGUAGAAUUUAUUUAACUUCUAUUUAUUUAUAUCAUUAAUUAAUGUUUUUUUGAUCCAUAUAUUUAUGAUUAAAAGAUUAAGUUACCUUAGGGAUAACAGCGUAAUUUCUUUGGAGAGUUCAUAUUGAUGAAGGAGUUUGCGACCUCGAUGUUGGAUUAAAAUAAGUAAUGGAUGCAGAAGUCUAUAUACUAGGUCUGUUCGACCUUUGAAUUUUUACAUGAUCUGAGUUCAAACCGGAG